rnacentral:rRNA from 1 species
UUAACGACUCUCGACAACGGAUAUCCCGGCUCUCGCAUCGAUGAAGAACGUAGCGAAAUGCGAUACUUGGUGUGAAUUGCAGAAUCCCGUGAACCAUCGAGUCUUUGAACGCAAGUUGCGCCCGAAGCCACUAGGCUGAGGGCACGUCUGCCUGGGUGUCACGCA